rnacentral:rRNA from 1 species
UACGUAGGGGGCAAGCGUUGUCCGGAUUUAUUGGGCGUAAAGAGCGUGUAGGCGGCUAGAUAGGUCCGUUGUGAAAACUCGAGGCUCAACCUCGAGACGUCGAUGGAAACCAUCUGGCUAGAGUCCGGAAGAGGAGAGUGGAAGUUCCUGGUGUAGCGGUGAAAUGCGCAGAUAUCAGGAAGAACACCCGUGGCGAAGGCGGCUCUCUGGGACGGUACUGACGCUGAGACGCGAAAGCGUGGGGAGCGAA